rnacentral:rRNA from 1 species
UGCCUACGGGACGCAGCAGUGGGGAAUAUUGCACAAUGGGGGAAACCCUGAUGCAGCGACGCCGCGUGAAGGAAGAAGUAUCUCGGUAUGUAAACUUCUAUCGGCAGGGAAGAAAACGGACGGUACCUGACUAAGAAGCCCCGGCUAACUACGUGCCGGCAGCCGCGGUAAUACGUAGGGGGCGGGCGUUAUCCGGAUUUACUGGGUGUAAAGGGAGCGUAGACGGCUGGGCAAGCCUGAUGUGAAAGGCGGGGGCGCAACCCUCGGACU